UGGCUGGAGGGGGCGGGGCGGGGCGCUGUGGUCGCCGCGCGGGUCCCUCGCCCUCGAGCCCACGCACCGGGGCUGGAGCCUGUCCUCCAAACGCCCCAGGUGGUCUUGAGGCGCCAGAGAAUCGUUGAGGGGCUGAGCCGGAGAAAAGGCCAAACGGGAAGGCGGGCUAAGAAUCUGCGCUCCCCUUGGAGGCCUUGCGGCGCUGCGGAGAAUGGACCCCGAGGGGAGAAAGGUUAAACAGAAACAACACCAGCACUGAGACUUGGGGAGGCUGAGUGACUGUCCAUGGCUACGCAUCUAAAAUCCAUGGCCAUCAUGGAUCCCAGUGUCACUCACAGUCUUCCCCCGGGGAAACAUCUUUGGGAGAUAAGUCCAAAGAGUUAAAGAUGACCUGAUUGCUGCUGUCUGGCUCCCCAGCUGGUUCAAUUUCUCCCUCCACCAGAUCCUUGUUUUAUCCACAUCUUAGCUUCCCCCACUCGGAUCACUCCUGGAUCACUCCUCUCUUCGGAUUGCUCUUCUGAAGAAGAAGCCGACUCAGAUUGCCUCCCCCAGAGGCAGCGCCCCAAUAAUGUGUCCUUGUUAGGAGAAAUGGGAAAAGCCCUUUACUACACUAUUGUCUUUGGAAUUUCAAGAUGACAGUGAUAAUGGUGGAGUUUCCUGCAGCUAAGUGUUUAGUAACAACUGGAGAAACUAAGGAGUAAGUGAAAUGAGACAAGAGCCUCACGAACCACUCUCUUCCAAUACCCAUUAGAGUUUCACAAUGUGCCAAGGCUAGAGCUAAUGUGAAUCACCCAGAUGACUGCUCCAGAAGCCACCUUACAAGGAAGACAUCCAGAACCUGAAACCUUGUCAGAGACAAACCAUGUGACCAGGUGGUACCAGGAAUAAGAAAAACAAAGAGAGGACCUGGGACUCCUCUGGCCUUUCACCAGGAGAGCCCUCACCGUCCUUAUGAGGUGCACAUGGCUGGGAGCCUCACAGAGCAGGCCUGCAGACCUCAGGAACGAUGAUGGAUAAUGUCUCAAGGGCACCACGUGGAGGGGGACACCAGCCAAGUGCCAGCUCCUUCUCCUGUGCUUGCUAAGCCCCAUGCACUACCCUGAGUGUGGAGGUGCUGACCGUUCCUUCCUGAUGUGUUACCUUCACCACAGAGUAGAAUGGAGGAUAGAAAUAAGUUCCAUUUUAGUUCUUGGAUAUUUUCGUUCGAGGCUUGACAUUUAAAAAGCUGUUACUGACCAUGUUGCUUCCCUCAUCAAAGGGACUCAGUGACUCCUUAUUGCCUUCAAACUCGAAUCCAUAUGUUAUUCUGUCAUCGGGGCUCUCUACAGUCUAAUCGGCCCUGCCCGUUUGGCUGGUCUGACAGAUUGCUUGUCUCUUCCUCCAGCCCUGCCUGGCUCCUGACUCCUGCUGGGUCUAUCCCUCACUCACUGGGGCCGUCACUGGGUGUCCCACAACUGCCUCACCCAUUACCUCCAUACCCACCUCCCUUACUUCCUAUAGCUCCUCCCCCAUGGAUGACCCCACAAGAAACACAGUUGUAGUAGUAGAAGCCUGGGGUGUCAUCCUAGCCUCUCCCCACUUUUCUUCCCAUGUCUAGUCUAAUCACUCAGUGCCCAGGAAAGCCUACUUCUUAAAUAAUUUUGAACUCUGUCUCUUUCUCUGCAUGUCUACCCUGCUGCUUUCGCUCUGGUCUUACUAUCUUUUAUUCUGACCACAGCUCUGCCUCUUCCCUUCCCAUCCUGUCCACACUGCAGCCAGAGAGGUAGCAGCAUAUUGGGGUAAGACAGAAAAGCCUCCUCUGUUCCUUACUCCUUGGGUGAACUUGACCAACUUUGUAUAUCUCUCUGGAGAUGAUAAAGGUUAUUGUGAGGCUGAGGUUUAUAAACCCCAGUUGGCCCCACCCAAAUAGUACAAGACACUGUUAUCAUUAUCUCUCCAAAAUGUAAAUGUGGUAGGUGAUUUCCCCUGAAAACUUUUACUAAUUGCCCUGUCCUCUGAAUAAAACCUAAAUUCCAUAGCACGUCCUCUAAGUGCCCUUAUGAUAUGAUCUCUACCAAUCUACCUGAUUUCCCAUGACUCUUCAUCUACCCUUAUACACUGGCUUCUGCAAUGUGCUUCCUUUUUUUUUUUUUUUUUAAGAUUUUAUUUAUUUAUUCAUAAGACACACACACACAGAGAGAGAAAGAGGUAGAGAGAGAGAGGGAGGGAGAGACACAGGCAGAGGGAGAAGCAGGCUCCAUGCAGGGAGACUGACAUGGGGACUCAAUCCUGGGUCUCCAGGAUCAUGCCCUGGGCUGACGGUGGCACUAAACCACUGAGCCACCCGGGUUGCCCUGCAAUGUGCUUCCUAAGGAGGCUUUCCAUUUCCUGUCCCUUGUGCCUGUAGUGUCCUGGCUCCCUUGUCACCCACUGAGACCUCACCUCAUCACAGCCUUCUGCCUGCUACUUUAUUCAUACCUCUAUUGUUACACUUCUCAUACAGUCAUAUACUUUUUAAAAAAUGCUGUCUGCCUCCCCCAUUAGACUACACAUUGAGAGGGAAGGAACAAUUUCUUUUUCCUCUUUAAGGCACAUAAUGGAUAUUUCCGAAAAUAAAGUCUGUUCAAUGAAUCGAUGAAUCAACAAAAUAUAAACCAUGUUCAUCUCCA